UCAGUCUUUCUUAAGCCUCAAACCGACGGUGAAGUCAAACUGGGAACAAACUGGGAAUAAUCAUCAGCCAAUCAGAAUCAGUCGUGUGCUUCUGGAUGAUGAUGGUGAACUCGGUCCAGAGGCUGAUGAUGGUGGGAAACGUUUCUGUGUUGACUUUGACUCGUCCCAAAACAAAUCCUGACGCAGACGAGGAAGAAGAUUUACAGCAAACCUGCGAGAAACAAGAUCGGAGCUACGCAAAGUUUCUUCGUCAUGUUGGUUUUUUCUGCUGCGAUGUUGAUUCCAGCUGCUUGGAUCCUUCAUCACCUGCCAGAGUACAGACAGAGGUCAAGGGAGGUCAUGCCUUCAUCUUCAUCACCUUCAUCAUAGUCUUCAUCACCUGCCAGAGUACAGACAGAGGUCAAGAGAGGUCACGCCUUCAUCUUCAUCACCUUCAUCAUAGUCUUCAUCACCUGCCAGAGUACAGACAGAGAGAGAGAGCGAGGGAGAUAGAGAGAGAGAGAGGGAGGACGAGAGAGAGAGAGAGAGAGAGAGGGAGGGAGGGAGGGAGGGACAGAGACAGAGACAGAGGGAGACUUCCAUGUAAAUGUAUAGGAUAAAUGUCUUGUUUCAUAAUGAAUAUUGUAUGUAAUCAAUGAACAUUAUUAGUCGACACAGAACCUCAGAUCUGUUCUUUCCAGUUGUUCUUCUUGUGAACAUGUGACUCAGAACAAACAGGAAGUGUUUGUUGUUUGAAGAAGAAAUAAAAUCUGUAGUUUGUGUUUUAA